rnacentral:lncRNA from 1 species
AGCGUUAUGCUUUCCGUCCUGGACUGGAGCCAGAUCCGUUGUCUUUUACUUUCUGGAGAGAGUGCCCCCUCCAACCAAGAUUUAAAACAAACGAAACCCCAGCAGUGUGAGGCUCGGGGUAGGAGGAGAUGCCUUUGAGAACAAAACCAUAAAGUCUGUACAUAAACAAUGCAUACAGACUAGCAAAAAUCAAAUGACUUCCCCCAGGCAGCAGGGCUUCAAGAGAGCCUGGUUAAAUGUUUUCACCCUUAAAGAAACUAUCUAAAAACAAAAAGCUAUUGUCUGACGCAAAUUUGUUCUAUAUUCAUCAAGCUCUGUCUACUACUGUAUCUGUAUGGUAGAAAUACUAUAUAAUGUUGAGCUACUGCACACCUGUUAUCAACUCCAUGUUUAGUGGCGUCAUAUUGAGAGGUGACAGCGGGCCAGCUGGAGUUCCGGGUGGGCAUGGGCUUGGCGGGCCUGCACUCGGAGCAGCCGGCCGGCCCUGCCAGCCCCGGGCAGUGAGGGACUUGGCACCCGGGCCAGCGGCUACAGAGGGUGUACUGGGUCCCCUAGCAGUGCCGGCCCACCGGCGCUGUGCUCGAUUUCUCGCCGGGCCUUAGCUGCCUUCCCGCGGUGCAGGGCUCGGGACCUGCAGCCCGCCAUGCCUGAGCCUCCCAUCCACUCCAUGGGCUCCUGUGCUGCCCGAGCAUCCCCGACGAGCACCACCCCCUGCUCCACGGCGCCCAGUCCCAUCGACCACCCAAGGGCUGAGGAGUACGAGCGCACGGCGCCGGACUGGCAGGCAGCUCCACCUGCAGCCCCGGUGCGGGAUCCACUAGGUGAAGCCAGUUGGGCUCCUGAGUCUGGUGGGGACAUAGAGAGUCUUUAUGUCUAGCUCAGGGAUUGUAAAUACACCAAUCAGCACUCUGUAUCUGGCUCAAGGUUUGUAAACACACCAAUCAGCACCCUGUGUUUAGCUCAAGGUUUAUGAGUGCACCAAUCGACACUCUGUAUCUAGCUGCUCUGGUGGGGCCUUGGAGAACCUUUAUGUCUAGCUCAGGGAUUGUAAAAACACCAAUCGGCACUCUGUAUCUAGCUCAAGGUUUGUAAACCCACCAAUCAGCACCCUGUGUUUAGCUCAAGGUUUGUGAGUGCACCAAUAGACAUUCUAUCUAGCUGCUCUGGUGAGGCCUUGGAGAACCUGUGUGUGGAAACUCUGUAUCUAACUAAUCUGAUGGGGAUGUGGAGAACUUUUGUAUCUAGCUCAGGGAUUGUAAACGCACCAAUCACGGCCCUGUCAAAACAGGCCGCUGGGCUCUACCAAUCAGCAGGAUGUGGGUGGGGCCAGAUAAGAGAAUAAAAGCAGGCUGCCCCAGCCAGCAGUGGCAACCCGCUCCGGUCCCCUUCCACAGUGUGGAAGCUUUGUUCUUUCGCUCUUUGCAAUAAAUCUUGCUACUGCUGACUCUUUGGGUCCACGUGGCUUUUAUGAGCUGUAACACUCACCGUGAAGAUCUGCAGCUUCAUUCCUGAGCCCAGCGAGACCACAAACCCACCAGAAGGAAGAAACUCCAAACACAUCUGAACAUCAGAAGGGGCAGACCCCAGACGCGCCACCUUAAGAGCUGUAACGCUCACCGCGAGGGUCCGCAGCUUCAUUCUUGAAAUCAGUGAGACCAAGAACCCACCAAUUCCGGACACAAUAUUGGCACCUUGAAAUCAGCCAUAAAGGGACUACUUAUACCAUAUAAAUUGGAAGACCUUAGAAGUCCAGGUGUUUCUCCCAGAUAUCCAGUCAUUAAACAUUUACCAUUGUAUCACUGACUAUAUGUCACCAAAGGAAUCGAGAAGAGGCAAAGUUUCUCUGAUUGACCUAGCCCCGGAAUUUUUUUUUCUUGGCUUUGUCUUUUUUUCUUGGCUUUUCUCAAUAAACUGAAACUCCUUGAUGUAAAUUUGGGAAAUUAUAUGAUACAGUAUUAUCAGUUAUUCACAAGUUAUUAAUGUCUUAUUAUAAAGAGAGGCUUCUCUUUUUAAAUCCAGGUAAAAUUAGAGAACUACUUGUUUUUUUGUGUGUUUCUUUUGGAAAAUUGGCAAAUGGUGUGAAAAAGAUAUUUCUGGAGAAUAGAGAUACUUGUGGCAUCUGAAAGAACAGCUUCCUAUCAUGGACCAAGUGCUCCUUGUAGUUAGAAUAAACUUUAAAGAUUGGAGAUGGAGAAGUGGGUUCCGUUCGGUCCAGUGCUUUUCAGAUGCCAUCUUUCCAUGCAGAAUUCCCAAGUUCUGCCAUGGAUACUGCUCUGUACUCCCUUAGCAGAGGAGGACAUCUUUCCAAAUUACACUAUAAAGUAGUUAAUGCUAAACCAAACAGGAGACUAUAAUUUUUAGUUUAGUUAAUUUUAUGGACAGAGUCUCGCUCUGCCACCCAGUGCGAUGGUGCAAAUACAGCUCACUUCAGCCUUGACCUACUGGGCUUAGUGAUCCUCCCACCUUAGCCUCCUGAGGAUCUGGGACUACACGCGCAUACCCCAAUGCCCAGCUAAGACUAGCAUUUUGAAACAGUGAGGAGAAUGAGGAAGAUGAUCGUGAUUGUAAUUGGAGAGAAAUUCAGUGUUCUGUUAUGCACUCUUAAGGAAACAUAUUAAUAUAUCGUACAAUUCAAUCAGUGUUUAUUAUACACCUACUAGCACAGGCACCAUGCUAAGCCCUAGACUAAUGCUUAUCAAAUCUAAUGUUCUUCAAAGCACAUGGAAAUAGUGUGGACAUAUAGAUACUGAUUGAGCUGCUAUGUGUAGGAACCAAGAGUCUUCAUUUCUAGCAAGCUCCCAGGUGAAGGCGAGGAUACUUGUCUGAGGAUCACUCUAAAUAGCAAGGUCCUAGAGCAGAUACU